UGACACUUCCCAGACACGCUGCCUGUAUUCUGCUGUGUUCUGUGGGCCCAUGACUUCCCUUACUACUCUCUUCCCUCACUUUCUUCAAGAAAGCUUUUAAGAGAGUGUCUUUUCUAGUCCAAAAAGAAGUGACUGCUUAAAAAGUCCCAAAUGACUUCACAGAGGGAAAAAUAAUGCAGAAAAAAAUCAAUUACCCUAUUUUUGAGAUAAAGUAACUGUUGGAUAAAUGGACACAGAAAAGGAGAAAUUAAGAUGAAAAAUAAUUGCAAAAACAAAAAACAAAGAAAGAAGAUUGAUAAUUGAGAAGAUAGUUAUGACAAAGGGCUCCAAUAAGCCACUGGGCACCUGCAGUGAAGAUAGAAGAUAAAGUCUUCCUCCAAGUAUCUCUUUAAAAAAAAAAAAAGCUCUGUCUUCAUAAG